AUUGAACGCUGGCGGCAGGCUUAACACAUGCAAGUCGAGCGGGGUGAUGGUGCUUGCACUAUCACUUAGCGGCGGACGGGUGAGUAAUGCUUAGGAAUCUGCCUAUUAGUGGGGGACAACAUCUCGAAAGGGAUGCUAAUACCGCAUACGUCCUACGGGAGAAAGCAGGGGAUCACUUGUGACCUUGCGCUAGUAGAUGAGCCUAAGUCGGAUUAGCUAGUUGGUGGGGUAAAGGCCUACCAAGGCGACGAUCUGUAGCGGGUCUGAGAGGAUGAUCCGCCACGCUGGGACUGAGACACGGCCCAGACUCCUACGGGAGGCAGCAGUGGGGAAUAUUGGACAAUGGGGGGAACCCUGAUCCAGCCAUGCCGCGUGUGUGAAGAAGGCCUUAUGGUUGUAAAGCACUUUAAGCGAGGAGGAGGCUCUUUUGGUUAAUACCCAAGAUGAGUGGACGUUACUCGCAGAAUAAGCACCGGCUAACUCUGUGCCAGCAGCCGCCGUAA
rnacentral:rRNA from 1 species